rnacentral:rRNA from 1 species
GACGUAGGGCGCGAGCGUUGUCCGGAUUUAUUGGGCGUAAAGAGCUCGUAGGUGGUUUGUCGCGUUGUUCGUGAAAACUCACAGCUUAACUGUGGGCGUGCGGGCGAUACGGGCAGACUAGAGUACUGCAGGGGAGACUGGAAUUCCUGGUGUAGCGGUGGAAUGCGCAGAUAUCAGGAGGAACACCGGUGGCGAAGGCGGGUCUCUGGGCCGAUACUGACACUGAGGAGCGAAAGCGUGGGGAGCGAACAGG